rnacentral:rRNA from 1 species
UGUGGCCAAGCACAUAAGGGCGUGUGGGGGAUGUCUUGGCGCCAGAAGGCGAUGAAGGGCGUGGAAGGCUGCGAUAAGCCCGGGGAAGCUGUCAAACGAGCGUUGAUCCCGGGAUCCCUGAAUGACCGUAUGCUGAAUACAUAGGCAUGCGGAGCGAACGUGGGGAACUGAAACAUCUCAGUACCCAUAGGAAGAGAAAGCAAUAGCGACUUCCCUAGUAGCGGCGAGCGAAAAGGAAUAUAGCCCAAACCGUCGGCUUGUCCGGCGGGGUUGUGGGGCUCACAUAUGGAGUUACAAAUCUGACGGUUAGAGGAAUCUGCUGGAAUGCGGAACCAUAGAAGGUGAAAGUCCUGUAGUCAAAAACUGAUCAGACUCCGUGAGAUACCCCGAGUAGGGCCGG